ensembl:lncRNA
CCCCAUAUGUUUUUAUUCGAUACAUUUCGACAGUGUUACCCAUUAUGGGUUUUUCAUGAUGACAGAUAAAAAACGAUGUCAGUGUUACCCUUUACGUUUCAUUUGAUAAAAAACGACAGUGUUACCCCUUAUGUUUUUUUGCCGUGAUGACUGAUGAAAAUAUUUUAUUUGACAAGGACAAUUUAUUUUAUUUUUUUUAUAUGUUUUUUUUCAUGAUGACCAAUAAAAUACGACAGUGUUACCCCUUAUAUUUUAUUUGACAAAGACAACAGUGUUACCCCUUAUUCUUUUUUUCGUGACGACCAAUAAAAAACAACAUUGUUACCCCUUAUGUUUUUUUUCAUGAUGACCAAUAAAAAACAACAGUGUUACCCCUUAUGUUUUUUUUCAUGACGACCAAGGAAAAUGACAGUGUCACCCCUCAUGUUUCAUUUGAUAAAAACGACAGUGUUACCCCCUAUGUUUUAAUUAAUAAAUAUCGACAGUGUUACCCCUUAUGUUUUUUUUCAUGAAGACCAAUAAAAUACGACAGUGUUCCCCCUUAUGUUUUUUUCAUGAUGACCAAUAAAAAACAACAGUGUUACCCCUUAUAUUUUUUUUUAAUGACGACCAAUACAAAACAACAGUGUUACCCCUUAUGGUUUUUUUCAUGACGACCAAAGACAAAAACGACAGUGUCACCCCUCAUGUUUCAUUUGAUAAAAACGACAGUGUUACCACUUAUGUUUUAAUUGAUAAAUAUGGACAUUGUUACCCCUUAUGUUUUUUUCAUGACGACCGAUAAAAAACAACAGUGUUACCCCUCAUGUUUUUUCCAUGUUGACCAAUAAAUAACAGCAGUGGCACCUCUGUCAACCUUUUGGCAGGGAUCCGAACAUGAGCUGUUUAGAGUGUUAACCUCAGAACUUAACAAUGCACCAUCAAGACACCGGAUAGGGUCAUCACAAAGGUUAUACUUGACUUUAUAAUUCACAUGAAAUAGAGAUAAGAGUCUUCCAACAGAAGAAAUAAACCGGACUUGAACGCCGGUCUCCAGGGGGUUAGCUCCCAGCUCUCUCCACUUCCCACUGCGAUUUAUGUUUUAAUUAUGUCUGAGGUUAUAUAUGACAGUGCAAAAAACAUGAUAGCAUGACGUUUAAAAUUAAAGAUAUUGUGUUUUCCACAGAUAUUGAGCCACGGUCUCCAGUGGGUUAGGCAGAGUGCACUCCACUGCACCACUGAGGCGAUGACAAAACACAAUAAUCAAUCAUCAAUAAAGAGGAUAUACAUGACAUUAAAAUGUAUGUGUGCAUUUCUAUUAUUUCCCUUAUGUUUUUUUUCAUGAUGAAAAAUAAAAAACGACAGUGUUACCCCUUAUAUUUUAUUUGACAAAGGCAACAGUUGUUACCCUUAUGUUUUUUUUUCAUGACGACCAAUAAAAAACAACAGUUGUUACCCUUAUGUUUUUUUUCAUGACGACCAAUAAAAAAUAACAGUGUUACCCCUUAUGUUUUUUUUCAUGACGACCAAUAAAAAACAACAUUGUUACCCCUUAUGUUUUUUUUCAUGACGACCAAUAAAAAACAACAGUGUUACCCCUUAUGGUUUUUUUUCAUGACGACGAAAGAAAAACGACAGUGUCACCCCUUAUGUUUUUUUCAUUGACGACCAAUAAAAAACAACAGUGUUACCCCUUAUGUUUAUUUUCAUAACGACCAAUAAAAAACAACAGUGUUACCCCUUAUGUUUAUUUUCAUGACGACCAAUAAAAAACAACAGUGUUACCCCUUAUGGUUUUUUUCAUGACGACCAAUAAAAAACAACGGUGUUACCCCUUAUGUUUUUUUUCAUGACGACCAAUAAAAAACAACAGUGUUACCCCUUAUGUUUUUUUUCAUGACGACCAAUAAAAAACAACAGUGUUACCCCUUAUGUUUUUUUUCAUGACGACCAAUAAAAAACAACACUGUUACCCCUUAUGUUUUUUUUCAUGACGACCAAUAAAAAACAACACUGUUACCCCUUAUGGUUUUUUUCAUGACGACCAAUAAAAAACAACAGUGUUACCCCUUAUGUUUUUUUUCAUGACGACCAAUAAAAAACAACAGUGUUUCCCCUUAUGUUUUUUUUCAUGACGACCAAUAAAAAACAACAGUGUUACCCCUUAUGUUAUUUUUCAUGACGACCAAUAAAAAACAACAGUGUUACCCCUUAUGUUUUUUUUCAUGACGACCAAUAAAAAACAACAGUGUUACCCCUUAUGUUUUUUUUCAUGACGACCAAUAAAAAACGACAGUGUUACCCCUUAUGGGUUUUUUCAUGACGACCAAAGAAAAACAACAGUGUUCCCCUACGAAUCACUGCCAGAGACCGCACUGCGAGUGAUUGACAGAAGGCAGGGCUAUAUUCGCACUGAAGCGAUGAGUGUCUGUUAACUCGCUUUCCGAGAGAAGAGAAGACAGCGCGCUGACAUACUUCUAUUUUGUGUGAUUUUGCGGAACAAAAGGUUGUUCUGCAGUUUCUAAAAACAUUUGAAUAAAUAGCCUUUAUAUUAACAUCCACCCAAAAUCCACUUGCCCGUUCGGGCAACCAGAAAAAAUCUCAACUUGCCCAAACAUUUUUUUUACUUGCCCCGGGCAAGCGGGCAACCGUAAGUGUCAUUGGCUGAACUAUAUAUUGCAUCCAUCUCUACUCCGUCUCUACUCUCACCCGAGGGAAUCCCGUGAUGUUUGUGAUUGAAGUCUCAAUGAUCUGAAUAAACUUGCCCAGAGCUCCAUAUCCAGCCUGGGUGGUUGUUAGUGUGUGCUGUGAUGAUGAAAUCAUUUAAAACUGAUCUGUUCUGUAGAGGCCUUCUGAUAUAUUGACUCAACAUCACCCUCCAAAGCAUUCUGCCAAACAACUUAUGAACCAUUUAACCCAUAAUGCCCACUCAAAAACAUCCUAGAAAGUACAAAAAUAGAUAUAUCUGGCCCUGAGAGACAACAGCUUUGGUUAAACAUUAUGUAUUUACACAUCAUUCAGGGUCGCACACCGGUGAGCUAUGAAGCGCCCAUGUACUUUAUAUGCACAGUAAAAGUAAAUUAAUACAAGAUGGAGGCUUUUUCUCAUUAGAAAAAACAUUCACAUGUCCUUUAAAAAAAACAACUGAUUGUUUGUUAAAAAGAAAGGAAGAAAGUGUUAAAAAUAGAGACAUAAUUGCCCAUUUCAUUUCACCACAUUUGUCCGUUAAACAAAUCAACCUGAAGAAUCUCCCUGGGGGGCCUCUUCAGUUUUCCUUCUAUUUACACAUUUACACACAAGCCCCCCCCCCAAGGGGGGACCGGGGAUCCAGCUACCCCCCUCCCGGUCUCCCUCC